UUUGAGACACAAACCAACUAACUGUCAGAUUGGUUGAAGAAAUAAAAAAUGUUGAACAUUAUUAACUGCUGCUGGUGUUGCAUCGCAAUGGGACAACAACAACUGAUACAGAUCAACAAUUAGCAUAGAUGUGCAGAUUACUUUAGCCAAUGGGGUUGCGUCAGUAAAUCUUCACAAUGUGAUUGGUGCCUCAGAGGCCGACGGGACAGCGUGAACACAUUUAAAAAGACACAACUGUUGCAUCUGGAGGACAGUCACUGAGACGCUGAAUGACAGCGAUGGCUCGUCUCACAACUCUUCUCGUUGCCAUGUGGCUUGGUGUGACAGUGAGCACAGUGGUUGAUCUGGAGAAGAGAAUCAUCGGAGGUCAUGAGUGUGGACCAAAUGAGCGUCUGUACCAUGUCCAGCUGAUAACCAA